GACGAACGCUGGCGGCGUGCCUAAUACAUGCAAGUCGAGCGGACGAUUGAAGAGCUUGCUCUUCAAUCGUUAGCGGCGGACGGGUGAGUAACACGUGGGCAACCUGCCUUAACGACUGGGAUAACUCCGGGAAACCGGGGCUAAUACCGGAUAACAUCUAGCACCUCCUGGUGCCAGAUUAAAGGAGGGCCUUUGGCUCUCACGUUAAGAUGGGCCCGCGGCGCAUUAGCUAGUUGGAGAGGUAACGGCUCCCCAAGGCGACGAUGCGUAGCCGACCUGAGAGGGUGAUCGGCCACACUGGGACUGAGACACGGCCCAGACUCCUACGGGAGGUAACAGUAGGGAAGCUUCCGCAAUGGACGAAAGUCUGACGGAGCAACGCCGCGUGAGUGAUGAAGGUUUUCGGAUCGUAAAGCUCUGUUGUUUGAGACGAAUGUGCCUGUUUCGAAUAGGGAUAGGUAAUGACGGUAUUAAACGAGAAAGCCACGGCUAACUACGUGCCAGCCGCCGCCGUAA
rnacentral:rRNA from 1 species